AGCAGCUGCGGUAAUUCCAGCUCCAAUAGCGUAUAUUAAAGUUGUUGCAGUUAAAAAGCUCGUAGUUGAAUUUCGGGGUUCUACCGUUGGUCGGGCUUUGUCUGUACUGGCGUGUGGAAUUUCUACCUUCUGGGGAACCAUCAUGUUAUUAAUUUAACGUGGUGGGAAACCAGGACCUUUACCUUGAAAAAAUUAGAGUGUUCAAAGCAGGCUUAUGUCUGAAUACAUUAGCAUGGAAUAAUAAAAUAGGACGGUGGUCCUGUUUUGUUGGUUUCUGAAUCACCGUAAUGAUUAAUAGGGAUAGUUGGGGGCAUUAGUAUUCAAUUGUCAGAGGUGAAAUUCUUGGAUUUAUUGAAGACUAACUUCUGCGAAAGCAUUUGCCAAGGAUGUUUUCAUUAAUCAAGAACGAAAGUUAGGGGAUCGAAGACGAUCAGAUACCGUCGUAGUCUU
rnacentral:rRNA from 1 species